rnacentral:rRNA from 1 species
GAUGAACGCUGGCGGCGUGCCUAAUACAUGCAAGUCGAGCGAACGGACGAGAAGCUUGCUUCUCUGAUGUUAGCGGCGGACGGGUGAGUAACACGUGGAUAACCUACCUAUAAGACUGGGAUAACUUCGGGAAACCGUAGCUAAUACCGGAUAAUAUUUUGAACCGCAUGGUUCAAAAGUGAAAGACGGUCUUGCUGUCACUUAUAGAUGGAUCCGCGCUGCAUUAGCUAGUUGGUAAGGUAACGGCUUACCAAGGCAACGAUGCAUAGCCGACCUGAGAGGGUGAUCGGCCACACUGGAACUGAGACACGGUCCAGACUCCUACGGGAGGCAACAGUAGGGAAUCUUCCGCAAUGGGCGAAAGCCUGACGGAGCAACGCCGCGUGAGUGAUGAAGGUCUUCGGAUCGUAAAACUCUGUUAUUAGUGAAGAACAUAUGUGUAAGUAACUGUGCACAUCUUGACGGUACCUAAUCAGAAAGCCACGGCUAACUACGUG